GUCUGACUAGCUUAGUUGGUAAAGAAUCUGCCUGCAAUGCAGGAGACUUGGUUUGAUUCCUGGGUCAGCA
rnacentral:tRNA from 1 species